AGAGUUUGAUCCUGGCUCAGGACGAACGCUGGCGGCGUGCUUAACACAUGCAAGUCGAGCGGUAAGGCCUUUCGGGGUACACGAGCGGCGAACGGGUGAGUAACACGUGAGUAACCUGCCUCUAGCUCUGGGAUAAGCCUGGGAAACUGGGUCUAAUACUGGAUAUGACUGCCUGAUGCAUGUUGGGUGGUGGAAAGUUG
rnacentral:rRNA from 1 species